AUGACAUUCCGUAGCCUUGAGGGGCAGGGACUCAGAGCUCGGUACCCUGGGGCUCUGGGGUGGAGGAUGAGGAUGAUCCAGAAUGGGGAGGCAGAAAUAGCCCCCCAUUCCUUUCUACUAGUUCUCAUGCCUCCAGCCCCUUGCUGCAGCCACACUGGCCUCAGUUACACUGGUUCGUUCCUGCUCCUCACCUGUACAGGGCCAGUUCCUGAACUGUGGGGGGGCCUUUGUAUAUACAGGCACCAGAACAUUCCUCCAGAGCUUCACUGGAGCCCUCCUCUUCAGCAUGACGGUUCCCGGCCACCUGAUCCAGAGCUGGCGGCUCCCAGGCAUAGCCCAUCCCUGCUGCGGCCCUGCACUACCCCAGUCCUCACCUGCACGCAGGGGACUGUUCACAUGCUGACCGUCUGUCCAUCUCCUGUAAGGACGUCGGCUCCUUCCAUGUCUGCUGGGCUGAGGAUCCCUCACAGCCUCCCUGACCUCAGAGCCAUGAAAGACUUGCAAGGCUUGAAGCAAACUCUGAACGGACCCUUCACAGAUAAAUUCUACCAGCAUGAUUAUACACAUCGAAACCCUCAGGGGUCAGCGCUAAGUGUCUGCAUAGACGUACCCAAACACCCGGGGCCUGGCAUUCCAAUAAACCCUCUGGACAGAGCGGCAUCUCCUCUUCACACAGUGAAACUAACUGCACCUCUUCUCCUCCUGGAUGUGCAAGCGUCCACAAACAGAUUUGCAACCUCAGAGGCGCAGACACCCGGCUGGGCCACGCUAUCGAUCCCCCAGAGACCCCGAAGCAAUUACAGCCACUGCAUCGCAGCAGCCCGGCGCCCUUGGGGGCUGCUUCAGACGGCGGGCCCCCGCGGAGCUCAUUCCAGGGGCUCAGGCCCUCCCGGGUGAGAGCACCGUCGCAG
rnacentral:lncRNA from 10 species